rnacentral:rRNA from 1 species
CCUACGGGACGCAGCAGUGAGGAAUAUUGGUCAAUGGGCGCGAGCCUGAACCAGCCCAGUAGCGUGAAGGAUGACUGCCCUACGGGUUGUAAACUUCUUUUAUAAAGGAAUAAAGUGAGGCACGUGUGCCUUUUUGUAUGUACUUUAUGAAUAAGGAUCGGCUAACUCCGUGCCAGCAGCCGCGGUAAUACGGAGGAUCCGAGCGUUAUCCGGAUUUAUUGGGUUUAAAGGGAGCGUAGAUGGGUUGUUAAGUCAGUUGUGAAAGUUUGCGGCUCAACCGUAAAAUUGCAAUUGAUACUGGCAGUCUUGAGUACCUUUGAGGUAGUCGACAUUCGUGUUGUAGCGGUCACAUGCUU